AUGCUGCAUAAAGUCUACCAUAUCACCCGGGACUUUGACUUUAAAAAACCUGUCCAGACCCUCUUAGAAAACCGCAGCUUCUAUGUAGAGUUUCAGGGCCAAAAAAGCAGAUGGAGGAGGCAAAAGAAUGGUUUACCCCAAGGCAGUGUUCUUGCACCAACCUUAUUUAACAUCUUCACGAACGAUCAGCCACUACCACCACUCACAAAGAGCUUUAUAUAUGCUGAUGACCUUGGCCUUACAACACAAGCAAAAGAUUUUGAAACAGUUGAAAAGCAACUCACCAAUGCCUUGAAAGAUCUCUCCAGCUACUACAAAGAGAACCACCUGAAGCCUAACCCUGCCAAGACACAAGUGUGUGCUUUCCACCUACGUAACCGCGAAGCCAACAGGAAACUGAAAGUUACUUGGGAAGGUCAAGAGCUCGAACACUGUUUCCAUCCUAAAUACCUUGGUGUCACCUUAGACCGAACACUAACAUAUAGGAAACACUGCAUGAACACCAAGCACAAAGUAGCUGCACGCAAUAACAUCCUGCGGAAACUGACUGGCAGCGCAUGGGGAGCAGACCCACAAGUAAUAAGAACAUCAGCCCUGGCCUUGUCUUUCUCAACUGCAGAGUAUGCCUGUCCUGUUUGGCACAAGUCUGCCCAUGCAAAGCAGGUGGAAAGCACACACUUGUGUCUUGGCAGGGUUAGGCUUCAGGUGGUUCUCUUUGUAGUAGCUGGAGAGAUCUUUCAAGGCAUUAGUGAGCUGGUUUUCAACUGUUUCAAAAUCUUUUGCUUAGGCGAAGGUCAUCAGCAUAUAUAUAAGUCUUUGUGGGUGGUGGUUGUGGCUGAUCUUUUGUGAAAAUGUUAAAUAAAGUCGAUAAUCUGUGAUAAGAAGAUAAUCUGGGAUCAGAUCCAGGGAAUUAGGGCAGUGUAGAUCCAGCCUGAGUCCCCUUCCACUGCUGCUAUAUCCCAAGAUCUGAUCCCAGAUUAUCUGCUCUGAACUGGAUUAUAUGAGUCUACAUUGCCAGAUAAUCUGAGAUAAGAAGAUAAUCUAGGAGUGGGUUUCUUCCAAUGGGGUUUACCCUGCUUCUAACCAGGAGGGAAAACGCUCAGGAGUGGGUUUCUUCCUAUGGGGCAUAGCCCGCUUCUAACCAGGAGGGAAAGUGCUCAGGAGUGGGUUUCUUCCAAUGGGGCUUACACAGAAACACAAAUAUAGAGCGAAUUUUAAAAGGAAUACUACUAAAACAUAGAUUUAAAAUGCAACCUUUUUGCUUCCCGGAAUGAUAAUCUAUAUAUAUAAAUGAGUGAUGGCAUCACGGCGAUCCACAAAACAACAAAACUACAGGCCCCCCAACCUCGAAAUUUGACAACACAACCCAUCAUCCACACCUCUAGGUUGAUACAAAAAGAAGAAAAGAAAAAUAAAGUUCUAAUUAGAGAGAGAGCAAUAAUUGUUUUUAUCCAAUUGCUGCCAGUUUAGAGGGCUAAUCUCUGCCCACUUGGUCUUCUAGCAACCAACUCAGGCAAGGGACAGCCAGGGUUGAGUUAGGGGACAGGCAGAUUUAGGCCUCAAUUAGGCCUCUUCCACAGAUUAUCUAAUUUGCACUGGAUUAUAUGGCAGUGUAGACCCAAGGCCCUUCCACACAGCUAUAUAACCCAUUCAUAAUCUUAUAUUAUCUGCUUUGCACUGGAUUAUCUUGACUCCACACUACCAUAUAAUCCACUUCAGUGUGCAUUUUAUACAGCUGUGAAGAAGGGGCCUCAUAUAAUCCAGUUCUAAGCAGAUAAUAUAAGAUUAUCAAUAUACAGUAGAGUCUCACUUAUCCAACAUAAACAGGCCGGCACAAUGUUGGAUAAGUGAAUUGGAUAAGUGAAUAUGUUGGAUAAUAAGAAGGGAUUCAGGAAAAGCCGGUUAAACAUCAAAUUAGGUCAUUGUUAUACAAAUUAAGCACCAAAACAUAAUGUUAUACAACACAUUUGACAGAAAAAGUAGUUCCAUGCGCAGUAAUGCUAUGUAGUAAUUACAGUAGAGUCUCACUUAUCGAACACUCGCUUAUCCAAUAUUCUGGAUUAUCCAACACAUUUUUGUAGUCAAUGUUUUCAAUAUAUCGUGAUAUUUUGGUGCUAAAUUCGUAAAUACAGUAAUUACUACAUAGCAUUACUGCAUAUUGUACUACUUUUUCUGCCAAAUUUGUUGUCUAACAUGAUGUUUUGGUGCUUCAUUUGUAAAAUCAUAACCUAAUUUGAUGUUUAAUAGGCUUUUCCUUAAUGCCUCCUUAUUAUCCAACAUAUUUGCUUAUCCAACAUUCUGCCAGCCCGUUUAUGUUGGAUAAGUGAGAUUCUACUGUACUGUAUUUACAAAUUUACCACCAAAAUAUCACAAUGAAUUUAAAACACUGACUACAAAAACAUUGAUUAUGAAAAGGCAGACUGCGUUGGAUAAUCCAGAACAUUGUAUAAGCGAAUGUUGGAUAAGUGAGAUUCUACUUUAAUAUGAAAUAAUUACUGGGAUAGAAUAAUGCAGAACAAUAUAAUCUCUAAAACCAGGACAGUAAAUAAAGACCAACAGUCUGAAAGCAGUGAAAUUGGAAAUUCCACAAAGGAAACAAUCAGGGCCAGCUAACACUUCCCAAGAAAGGAUUCUUCCAGAAAGGAAGCUGAGACGGGAGUGAAGCACUGUGUAUUACCAAAGUCAUUAUUAUUACUAUCAUUACUAUUAUUAUUAUUAUUAUUAUUAUUAUUAUUAUUAUUAUUAUUGUGUUGCGGUCAACCGUGAAAAUGAAUACCAUCUGGCUCCAAGUAUUCAAAAACACUAAAAUCAGAAUAUAUAAAAAAAUUAAUGUGGUAUAAUAAAACAGAACAAUACAAUCUCUAAAAUCAGAACACUAAAUAAACAACAACACUCUGAAAACGGGAAUUCCACACAGGAAACAAUCAGGGCCAGCAAGGCCAUUACAUCCUAAAUUUUUUUCCUAAUUGCAGCAUUCAUACUUGCCUCCAACAGACAAAAAAAAACAACAAUCAGAAAUAUUGUAUAUUCACAACCUUUAGGAAAUAAUAUCCCCUGAUGGCGCAGCGUGUUAAAGCGCUGAGCUGCUGAACUUCUGGAUCGAAAGGCCGCAGAUUUGAAUUGGGGGAGCGGAGAGAGCCCCCACUAUUAGCCCCAGCUUCUGCCAACCCAGAAGUUCAAAAACAUGCAAAUGUGAGUGCAUCAAUGGGUACUGCUCCAGCGGGAAGGUAAUGCUGCUCCAUGCAGUCACCCCACAUGACCUUGGAGGAGUCUAUGGACAACGCUGGCUCUUCGGCUUAGAAAUGGAGAUGAGCACCAAUCCCCUGAGUCAGACAUGACUGGACUUAAUGUCAGGGAAAAACGUUUACCCUUUACCUUAACAACCCCCAAUUCCUCAAUACUUUAUUUCCCAUACCACCAUACUUCGCCACAGCAACACGUGGCCGGGCACAGCUAGUAUUAUGUAUAUUUUAACGUGAGUCCCUUUCCAUCUCAAAUCUAGAGAGAAAGUGGGGUGCUAAUAAUAAUAAUAAUAAUAAUAAUAAUAAUAAUAAUAAUAAUAUCAGGGUAAUUUAAAAUAAAAGGGGGGAGUUGUGGAAAAUCCUUAGCAGGGCGAUAGUUUGCUUUCUCUGCCCAUUUCCCAUUUUCUUCUCCCCUGUGAUGCCUAGGGCACCUUUGGCCCCUGACCCUGUGGCCAUUACUCUCCAGGACGAAGAAGACUUUGGUUUUCUCCCACAUCAGCAAGAUUCAAUUCCUUUCCAGAUGCCUUCUGUUGACAUCUCUGAGCCAGAGCCAAUUAAGGGUGCCCUUGAAACAGAGCCAGCUCUCCCAAAUUCUCCUGAAGGGUUGGUGUUUGAUCGCAGGGUGUUUUUGAAAAUAGAAAGAUCACAGAGACAAAGUUUGAGGAGAAGUGCCAGAUUAGCGGAAUGUGGUAUGGCUAAGCCCAGUUCUUUUGGGAAAAAUUUGGGAGUCAGGCACCUGGUUUAGGGGAGCUUAUGAACUUCAAUAAAAGUAUUGCGCUGGGAAUUUUCCUGUGCGGUGUCAACUUUACUUCUUACUGAGAAGCAUCAUCGUCUCCAGCUCUUGAAAUCCAAGCGGCCUGAAGAUGUGCUUACUCUUGAGUAGACCGGGCGCCAGUCUACCUCCUUGCCCAAGUUUGGACUGCAUUUCAGCUCCUGCACAUACAGUUCAUGCUUUACCUUGAAAUCCUGCUUUUGGACAUUUACUCCAGAGAACUCUUCUUUGCCACCUUGCUCCUUUUCCGCCACUCAAUACUCAAGCCGAGUUUGAGUGUGUUUUGGUUUCUGGACUUUGGACUUUAAUAUUGGACAAAAAAACUUUCACUUAUUGGAGUAAUUUUGAUCUUUCCUGAAAGGUCAAUUGGUUAUUCAACUUUGUUGCUUAUUUCCUUUUGGAACUUUAUUUGCUUUAAUAAAGAUAUUACAUUGUUAUUGGCCUCUGUGUUGGUUUUCAGUGCUCUCGCUGCCUAGGGGUGUAACAUCCCCCCUGAAAUGGAAAGUCACACACCAACUUGGGUGGAGGUUUAGUUAAAGUUCUAGUUUGGGGUUUUGCCAGCACAAAACCGGAGUGAAAUGAUCUGGAUCGGGGAUUGGGAUUGAUCCCUCCUCCUUUUCCCUCUUUCUUCACUCAAAGCUUUUUGCAAAGGCAGGAGGGGAAGGCUGUGAAAGGGAAGAGGAAGUGGUUUGCAAGGGAAAUCCUGCAGAGGCAAAGCAGCAGCCACCAAUGCCCUUUGCAAACCAGGCUCCCUCCGCUUCUGCAACCAGGAUGGGAAGGGAGAUUUCUCUCCUGGAUAGCAACGGGUUUAAGAGCCCCAUAGAAACCAACCAGGAAGGG
ensembl:lncRNA